CAACAAUAAAAAUAUCAGUGGUUGUCAUGGGAUUCAGGAGGAGGGAGGGAGGACUGAAUUGGUGAAAUACAGAAUAUUGCUUAGGGCAGUAAAACUGUUCUUUAUGAUUCUGUAAUUGUGGCUGUAUGACAUUCUAAAUUUGUCAAAAACUGUAGAACUUUACAAAGAUUAUGGAAAACAAUCUUAAAUAUAUGAAACAUGUUACUAAAGGGGUGGAGGAGAAAGGUGGAUUGUGUAAGAUUAAAGAUGGGGAAGAUGUUAUCUAUAAGUAGUGUACUCUAAUCUUUUCCCAUGGGGGUAUGAAUUAAUUCUGAUGCAGCUGUAUAUAUAAUACAUAUUGGAAUUGAACAGUUAAGUAAAUGAAUGGCAAAUGAUUGGAGCCAGUUUUCUCACUGUUAAAGUUUGCAGAUAAGCAAGGAAGAAGACGUUCGACUGAUUCAUGUGGCAAUGGAUUAGAGUUGGAGUCAUAAUAUAAACUCAUGUUUAGCUUGAUAUGGGUACUGAUGGUUAUAUACAGAAAUAGAUAUGUGUACAUCUUGGGUUAUUACACUAACAUAUUUCCUUGCUCUUCCAUCUAAGAUGGCCUAGAAGGAACAACAUCCCAAUAGCAAAGUGCAUUCAUAUCUUGGUUUCUAAUACCAUUCUCCAAUAAAAGAAACCAGAGUUCCUUGGAGAAAUGGCCAAUUCUGACACUGGGACAGCAAAUAUACAAAAUGAGCCUGGAGUAGCUUGUAGUGCUGGAAAGUAAAGAGAAGUAUUCAGAACAUACACAAACAGGUACACAGAGUAAUGGGGGCUGUAUCAAAGGCACACAGGAGCCAACUAAUGUUUUAGCUCUCAAGGGCCAAAACUCUCAAUGGCUAAAGCUAAAACAGUUUGAACAACAAAAUAAAUGGGAUUGGAUUAUAACCCAGGUAUAAGAUAAAUAUACUUAAGUCUACACAAUAAAAUUAAAUGAUUAAAUAAAUAAAUGGAAGAAAUAAACAAGUCUCCCAUGCAGAAUUCCAAAAUAAUUACAUGGAUAUACUCUGCCUCCAAGGAUGUAGAAUGUGUGUGGGCUGUGCAUAGUGACUCCUUACAAAAAGUACAGUUUGGAAGGUGGGAGAUAAUGUAACUUUAUAGUGGAGAAACCUGGUAAACACUGACUAAACCAGCUAAUCAAAUUUAACGUCAGCAAUAAUAAGUUGUGUUGGUGCUAUGUAUCUUUGAUAUGAUAUGAUGAAAAUGAUACUUUUCCCCUAUGAUCGUACUUCCAAAAAUCCAUAGCCCCAGAAUACUCAUGAGAAAAUGACAGAUCCCAGAUUCCAGUUUAGGGGCAUUCUACAACAUACCAGACCAGUGCUCCUCAAAACUGUCAAGGGCAUUAAAACAAGGAAAGUCUGAGAAACUGUCCAAGCCAAGAGGCGCUUAAAGAGACUUGGAAGGGCCAGUGCAGUGGCUCACGCCUGUAAUCCCAGCACUUUGGGAGGCUGAGGUGGGUGGAUCACUUGAGGCCAGGAGUUCAAGACUAGCCUGGCCAACACAGUGAAAUCCCAUCUCUACUAAAAAUACACAAAAUUAGCUGGGCAUGGUAGCACAUGCUGUAAUCCCAGCUACUUUUGCGUGAGCCUCUCUUGAACCUGGGAGGUGGAGGUUGUAGUGAGCUGAGAUUUUACCACUGUACUCCAACCUGGGCAACAGAGUGAGACUUUGUCUUAACUUAAAAAAAGAGAGAAAGAGAAACAUGGAAGGAGAGAAGGAGGCCAAGGUGGGUGGAUGGCACUAAGCCCAAGAGUUCGAGACCAGCCUGGGUGAUGUAAUAGGACCCCCAUCUCUAUUAAAAAAUUACAAAAUUAGCUGGGUAUGGUGGCGUGUGCCUCUAGUCCCAGUUGCUCAGGAGGCUGAGGUGGGGAUCACUUGAACCCGGGAGGCAGAGGUUGCAGUGAGCCCAGAUGUUGCCACUGUACUACAGCCUGAGUGACAGAGCAAGAUUCUGUCUCUGAAGACUAGAUGUAAUAUGGUAUCCUCGAUGGGAUCCUGGAACUGAGAAAGAACAUUAGGUGAACCCUAAGGAUAUUUGAUUAACAUGUAGAUUUUAGUUGUUAAUUAUGAAUAUGUGGAUACUGGCUCAUUAAUUUUAACAAAUGUACCAUACUUGCUGGGCGCGGUGGCUCACGCCUGUAAUCCCAGUACUUUGGGAGGCCAAGGCGGGCAGAUCACCUGAGGGCAGGAGUUCAAGACCAGCCUGACCAACACAAAGAAACCCCAUCUCUACUAAAAAUACAAAAUUAGCUGGGCAUGGUAAUACAUGCCUGUAAUUCCAGCUACUUGGGAGGCUGAGGCAGGAGAAUUGCUUGAACCCGGGAGGCGGAGUUUGUGGUGAGUCAAGAUCAUGCCAUCGCACUCCACCCUGAACAACAAGAGUGAAACUCUGUCUCAAAAAAAAAGUACCAUACCAAUGUAAGAUGUUGUUAACAGGGAAAACUGAAUACAGGAUAAUAAGAAUUCUGUGUGUUACCUUUGCCAAUUUUCUGUAAAUCUAAAACUGUUCUACAAAAUAAAGUUUAUUAGGAAAAAUGGGCAGAGGAUCUAAUUAGACAUUUCUCCAAAGAAGAUAUCCAGAUGACUAAUAAGCAUAUGAAAGAAUGGUCACCAUCAUUAGCUAUCAGGGAAAUACAAAUCAAAACCACAAUGAAGGGGGAAGAAGGUAGAUGGGAAGAAGAGAUAAUUAUCAAAGAAUACAAAGCUUCAGUUAGACUGGAGGAAUAACUUAGUGAUCUAUUGCACAGCAUAGUGAUUAUAAAUAGUAAUACAUUGUAUGUUUCAAAACUGCUAUAAGUAGAUUUUAUUUAAAAUUUGCAAACAACAAUGUGUGAGGUGAUGGAUUUGUUAACCUGAUUUAGUCUUCGCACAUUGUAAAUGUAUCAAUCAAAAUAUCACAUUGUAUCUCAUAAAUAUAUGCAAUUGUUAUUAAUUUUAAAAAGCCACAAUGAAUUACUGCUUUUCAGCCACCAGGAUCGCUAUAUAAAAAAUGAUAGGCCAUUUUGCUCACGUGGAAGCGCUGCAGUAGGGUGGGAUCCCGAGCAGGAUCUCCAUGGGCUGUGCGGCUACCAUGCUGUCAUCCCCAUGGGUGGUGUUGGUGUGCUCAAGCAGCCAGAACCGGAGCAUGGGGGCGCACAACAUCCUCAGCAAACGGGAAGUCAGCGUCUGAUCCUUUGGAACAGGGACUCGGGUGAAGCUUCCAGGACCAGCUCCGGACAAGCCCAGUGUUUAUGAUUUCAAAACCACAUAUGACUAGAUGUACAAUGAUCUUCUUAGGAAAGAGAAAGAACUCUAUACACAGAAUGGCAUUUUGCAUAUGCUGGACAGAAGUAAGAGAAUCAAGCCCUGCCAGAAAGGUUCCAGAACUACAAAGACCGUUUGAUCUGAUCCUCACUUGAGGUGGUGGAAGAUCUGAAUUCCAGAGAGCAGGAGACCUGCCAGCUAGUGCACAUGGUCAAAGUGGACAUCCAGGACAACCACGAGGAGGCCACUCUGGGGCGUUGCUCAUCUGUGAGCUCUGCCAGUAUAUCCAGCCCAAGGAGGACACGGAGAACAAGACUGAGGAGCUGCUGCAGGAGUUCGAGAAGAGCAGGCAUACCUUCCUGCACACCUGCCCCUCCCGGGGCCGAGGGCCACCUUCUCCAGCUUCCUUUUGUUCAUACUUUUUCCUUUCUGAUGUUUGUUUUUGCUUAUAGGUGUUCUGCUGGUGACAGUACAAUUACCCAAAUAAACUGUGCAUAUGAAACGGGAGGAGGAGAGGUCUAAGUGCCACAUUAAAGCCAUCAAGUUUUUUCUGUCCCACUUUUACUUAUGAGCAGGAUAUUGAUUAUAGUUUUUUUCUUUAACCAAAAAGGAAAGACAGUGGUUUGUGUUCACUUCCCCACCAUCCCUGUGUCUCCAUGCGCCCCCUCCGUUCUUCCUCCCCACCUGGCCAGACUGUACAUGCCCCGCUGUGGUGUGUUAGGAACGACCUGGAAUUGUCCAAUAAAUAGAUGCUGCUGUC